CAAGAGAAAAAUGAGUAGCAGGCACGGUUGAAGAAACAACCUCUAAAAUGAUCAUCCUCUGAGGAGGAAGAGUUGCAGGCGUUGGAGAAGAUUGACUUUGAGCAUCUAGGAUUGACUCCAUCAUGGCAGUCAGAUGGGCAAUCUCGUCCUUCAAGUCUCUAUUCUCUUGCUCUAGAUGUUCCAUGAUUCGCGAAUGAUUGACGCGAGUAUUGUAUCGAUGAGUCAGCUUGGCUGGAGCACAGAAGAAC
rnacentral:lncRNA from 1 species